CGAUGACUCUCUAGCUUGCUAGAGAAGAUUAGUGGCGGACGGGUGAGUAACAUUUAGGAAUCUGCCUAGUAGUGGGGGAUAGCUCGGGGAAACUCGAAUUAAUACCGCAUACGACCUACGGGUGAAAGGGGGCGCAAGCUCUUGCUAUUAGAUGAGCCUAAAUCAGAUUAGCUAGUUGGUGGGGUAAAGGCCCACCAAGGCGACGAUCUGUAACUGGUCUGAGAGGAUGAUCAGUCACACCGGAACUGAGACACGGUCCGGACUCCUACGGGAGGCAGCAGUGGGGAAUAUUGGACAAUGGGGGCAACCCUGAUCCAGCCAUGCCGCGUGUGUGAAGAAGGCCUUUUGGUUGUAAAGCACUUUAAGCAGGGAGGAGAGGCUAAUGGUUAAUACCCAUUAGAUUAGACGUUACCUGCAGAAUAAGCACCGGCUAACUCUGUGCCAGCAGCCGCGGUAAUACAGAGGGUGCGAGCGUUAAUCGGAAUUACUGGGCGUAAAGCGAGUGUAGGUGGCUCAUUAAGUCACAUGUGAAAUCCCCGGGCUUAACCUGGGAACUGCAUGUGAUACUGGUGGUGCUAGAAUAUGUGAGAGGGAAGUAGAAUUCCAGGUGUAGCGGUGAAAUGCGUAGAGAUCUGGAGGAAUACCGAUGGCGAAGGCAGCUUCCUGGCAUAAUAUUGACACUGAGAUUCGAAAGCGUGGGUAGCAAACAGGAUUAGAUACCCUGGUAGUCCACGCCGUAAACGAUGUCUACUAGCCGUUGGGGUCCUUGAGACUUUAGUGGCGCAGUUAACGCGAUAAGUAGACCGCCUGGGGAGUACGGCCGCAAGGUUAAAACUCAAAUGAAUUGACGGGGGCCCGCACAAGCGGUGGAGCAUGUGGUUUAAUUCGAUGCAACGCGAAGAACCUUACCUGGUCUUGACAUAGUGAGAAUCCUGCAGAGAUGCGGGAGUGCCUUCGGGAAUUCACAUACAGGUGCUGCAUGGCUGUCGUCAGCUCGUGUCGUGAGAUGUUGGGUUAAGUCCCGCAACGAGCGCAACCCUUUUCCUUAUUUGCCAGCGGGUUAAGCCGGGAACUUUAAGGAUACUGCCAGUGACAAACUGGAGGAAGGCGGGGACGACGUCAAGUCAUCAUGGCCCUUACGACCAGGGCUACACACGUGCUACAAUGGUAGGUACAGAGGGUUGCUACACAGCGAUGUGAUGCUAAUCUCAAAAAGCCUAUCGUAGUCCGGAUUGGAGUCUGCAACUCGACUCCAUGAAGUCGGAAUCGCUAGUAAUCGCAGAUCAGAAUGCUGCGGUGAAUACGUUCCCGGGCCUUGUACACACCGCCCGUCACACCAUGGGAGUCUAUUGCACCAGAAGUAGGUAGCCUAACGCAAGAGGGCGCU
rnacentral:rRNA from 1 species